rnacentral:rRNA from 1 species
CCUACGGGGGGCAGCAGUAGGGAAUCUUCCACAAUGGGCGAAAGCCUGAUGGAGCAACGCCGCGUGGGUGAAGAAGGUCUUCGGAUCGUAAAACCCUGUUGUUAGAGAAGAAAGUGCGGGAGAGUAACUGGUCACGUGUGGACGGUAUCGAACCAGAAAGCCACGGCUAACUACGUGCCAGCAGCCGCGGUAAGACGUAGGUGGCAAGCGUUAGCCGGAUUUAUUGGGCGUAAAGGGAACGCAGGCGGUCUUUUAAGUCUGAUGUGAAAGCCUUCGGCUUAACCGGAGUAGUGCCUUUGAAACUGGUAUACUUGAGUGCAGAAGAGGAUAGUGGCACUCCAUGUGUAGCGG